rnacentral:rRNA from 1 species
UUUGCCUCACCUACCAUCCAGAACAUGCCCAAUCUCUUUUGAUCUCAGAAGCUAAGAAGGUUUGGGCCUGGUUAGUACUUGAAUUCCUUGCCUGAAAGGUCAAAU